CUCUGAUCAGUUGCUUUUUUCCCUUUGUGUCAGUUAUGAAGUUCUGCUCACGUUGGAUAAGGAAAAUCACCGAGUGGAUGGUCCAAUAUAUUAUUAUCUGUUCAAUAGUCUUCUGUACUGCUUGCUUGUUAUGCAUAUUUAUUGGUGGGUGCUGAUAUUUCGGAUGCUUGUUAAACAAAUCGAAGCAAGAGGGAAAGUUAGUGAAGAUGUUCGAUCUGAUUCAGAUGAAGACGAACAUGAAGAUUGAGUAGGGAAGCAAACGCAUGAUGUAAUCUUUAGACAAAGAUGUAUGAUUAGCUUCAACCUUUUUCUGUGCCUUUGGCCACAAUGCUAAUAUUUUCAAAUCUUAUUCAAAUUUGAGAGGAUUGUAUCUAUCUAUACGGAUUGGAGUACAGACUUCGGACCUGGUAUAAAAAGGGCAACAGAUGGAGAUAAUUUUUAUUCUUCUAAACUUUUGGUCUAUACUGCACAUCCUGAAGUUUAGGUCGUACUGCCUGACAUUUGCUUAAGACUUUGACUUUUCCUGAUUAUUUGUCCCUCUUUCAAAUUACAAGUAUUGUGUCCAUUAAUGUUUUCUGCACAGAUGUUAUCCUCUUGGUUUUCAUUUAUUGGAGAAGAAAAUUAUUGGUCUUA